CUGGUUGGAUUCCCAGUCCUGUGCUGAGCUGGCAGGGCACAGAGCCUCCUCAAGCACCGGUGCCUCCUCUCCAGGCUUCCUGCACUUCCUUUGCUGACAGGGUCCCAUCAGCCAGGCUGGGGGCAGGCUCAGCUGAUGUUACAAAGCACAAAGAUUUUUACAAAGGUUUCUUCAAAUCCCAAGAUGUUGUCUUGAGCUAAGAGGCUUUGGCUCUUUUUAUUCCAGAAUAAUGUAUCCAGGAUUUUACCCUGUCUGUUUCAAUGCAGCAAUAUUGUCUGCAGAACUUGUGAAGGUUCAAGCCACAGAGAGACAAAAUACUCCUCUUCCCCUGUUUCUCUUCUUUCUAGAUAUCACCUAGAAAAAACUCAUCCCCUCUAAUGCUGCCCUUUCCUUUUGUCAUAACACCUUUUAUAAAUGGAGGGUGUGAUGCUCUACCACCAAACCCAAAAUGUUUUCCCUACUGGUUUUGUUCCACACAGCCCCCUUGGGUAGGUACCCCUAAAAGUUCCCUGUCUCCCUCACCCAAACCCCACAUCUCCUCAUGAGGCGAGGCAAGACCCUGGGCCCAUCAUCUCUGUCAGGUGUCCACACAGAUGCACAAAUGCAAGCCAAGAGCCACAGCCCCAGGGCUGAUUGCCUGUUUCUUAGGUAUGAAGUUUCCCCAUGAUCCUUAAAGCACAUGACUGUAACUCUGCUCACCCCCACACCCCUUUCCAGUGCUGUAUCACAUGUAUCUGUCCACGCUUCUGCCCUUGAGGAUCACAAAGCAAAAGUCCCUGCCUCAUGCAAGACUGGUGCUGCUGUCACCAAGCCACAGCUUUGUGGCUGGGCCUUGAGCCAGUAAGAGCAGUCACAGAAGCAGUUCUCCGGCAGGAAGCAGGGCAGUUGCUCCUCUGGCUGUCGGGCUCCUCCUCUGGAGUGGUGGAGAUGGCAGCGAACUUCGCCUGCAGCUUCACUGCACUUUGCUGUUUGGCACUCUGGAGCUUCACCAGGACUUCAGGUACACUUGUUACACCACCCCACUCAACCAUAAGACCUGGCUUCCCUGUCCCAGUGAACACCAACAACCCCGAGGUCCGCAAGGCCGCUCGCUUUGGGGUCUACAGGUACAACAACAGCUCCAAUGACCUCUUCCUGUUUAAGGAAUCACAGAUAAAGAAAGCCAUGGUACAGGUAAAAGCAGCAGGCUCCUGAUGGUUCUCCAAAUCAUCUUCUAACUGACCCUCCUGUGGCAUAUCCAAGGCACAAAAUCCCUGAUCUUCCUCAGGACUGCUAAAGAAGUCCCCUAUAGCACUGCUACACAGGAGGACUCUGUGUAGGUGACACACAGUUCUCAGCUGUAGCACUUGAUUCCUAGCCAAAGUUUGGGCGUCUCUUUCCCCUGCCCCACUUUAAAGGAGGAAACUGCUUUCUCUAGUCAGAGGGCUGAAGUACAUGCUUCACGUGGAAAUCAGGGAUCACCCCAGCCUGGACAGCUGUCACUUCCAGAGGGAAAAAAACCUGCAACAGGUAUGUGUUCAAUUUAUUUGGGGUGCCCAGGAACUACAGGGGAUUCUUGGUCAUCUCUAGCUGUAGAAUCCCUUUUAGACCAGCUCUGCCAUGUCUCCAUAUGUGCACAAGCCUCUCCUCUGCAGAGCCAGCUGGGGUGAGGCCAGGGUUUUGCCUUUCAUGCAUCCGGGGCCAGCUCCUGUCUGCAGGGAGCUGAACCAGACACAUCCACCCAGCCCAUAUUCCUGGGUGACUGAGGAGAGUGUGCAGAAAUAGAGUAGGUGCUAAAGAGAUUUCCUGGCUGGGAAACACUUUACACAGGCUUUCCCACUAGACAGGAUUACUUAGCAAACAGUACUUUUCCUAGGAUAAAGUGGGCAGGCAAAAGGAUGCUGUAUUCUCCUGCCCCAUCACAGCCUGCAAUGCUGAGAUCAACCAGCAGACACCUGAACUUUCUCACCUAUUCCCCUUUUAUUCACAGAUGCUGAGAUGAUAUUUUGAGGUCUGGAUAACACCCUGGACACACAAAGUGCAUAUCCCUGUUGCCCAAUGUCACCAAGACCUUUCCCCAUGAGAGCCUGACUUACAGAGGAUCUCCCACCAUGAGUUUUUCCUUGCCUGGACUGCUGAGGUCAAUACUGAAGUGGGGAACAGCUGUACAGAACUGCACAGAGCUUUUUUCUCAAACCACAUGGUUGUUUUCUUCCUUGAGAAAGAACCUCAAAAGACAAGGCCUGCCUUGGCUGAAUGUCUUGCUAUCCAGUUUUGUAUCUGUUUUUCCAAAACUAAACUGCACAUGAACAUGUGUUGUCAUUCAUUUGCCA